rnacentral:rRNA from 1 species
CAAUAGCGUAUAUUAAAGUUGUUGCAGUUAAAAAGCUCGUAGUUGGAUUUCUGGAUGGAGCGACCGGUCGGGCAUUAAUUUGUCUGCACUGGAGUCGGUUCCGUCCAUCCUCUUGGAAAGUGCGUCGGGCAUUAAGUUGUUUGGCGUAUGAUCCAAGUCGUUUACUGUGAAAAAAUUAGAGUGUUUAAAGCAGGCCUUCGCCUUGAAUACAUUAGCAUGGAAUAAUAAGAUAGGACUUUGGUCUAUUUUGUUGGUUUGCAGACCGAAGUAAUGAUUAAUAGGGAUAGUUGGGGGUAUUUAUAUUCCGAUGUCAGAGGUGGAAUUCUUAGAUUUUUGGAAGAUAAACUUAUGCGAAAGCAUUUACCAAGGAUGUUUUCAUUAA